UACGGGAGGCAGCAGUGGGGAAUAUUGGACAAUGGGGGGAACCCUGAUCCAGGCCAUGCCGCGUGUGUGAAGAAGGCCUUUUGGUUGUAAAGCACCUUUAAGCGAAGGACGGAGGCUCUCCUUGGUUAAUACCCUGAGAAGAAGUGGACGUACUCGCAGAUAGCCGU
rnacentral:rRNA from 1 species